UUUUUUUUUUUUUUUUUCAUAAUCAUUUAUAAAAAAAAAUAAAAUAAAUAAUAUAAAUCAACAAAAAUCGAAUAUUCAUUAUAAAAAUUGGCUAUAAAAAAUAAUUUAAAAGAAAUUUUAUUUGAUUUUGAUAAAAAUUAAUAUUAAUUAAAAAAUGUUCAUAACAACUAAAUAUAAAUCCAAUUAAUUUAUUUUCCUAUAUCUAUAUUAUAAUUAAUUUAUAAUUAUAAUUUCUUAAAAAUAGCUAUUGUAGAAAUAGUACUAUAUCAGCAAUCAAAUAUUAUUUCUUACAUUACUAAAGGAUAAAUAUAUUACUUAUAUUGGGUACAACUCCUCCUCUCCUCUCUUUCCUCUCUUUUUCUUCUUUUCUCUUUUAUUUUUUUUUUUUGGGAGAAAAAUGUAAUUUAGUACUGCAAAUCCAACUUCACAUAGAGUGGAGCAGGAAGAUGGUUUCACUCCGCUCAUGCACGCAGCCAAGCUCGGCCACACCGCCGUCGUCAAGUCCAUUCUGGGAACCGGUGCUUCCUGGAAUGCAUUUUCUCCUAAUAUCUCCGCUGGCGAUUAGCCGUGGAGGAAGGUCACCAGGAGGCCUUCGAAAUUCUCCUCAAUGCUGGAAUUCAAUCUGAGUUGUCUUAGGAUCCUUUGCGAAUUGCAAGGAAAGCGAACGAAAAUGUUUACUUGGAAGAUAAGGUUACUUUCCGCGAGUAUAAGCUGAUGGACUCUGAUAGCAAAGCUGUCAUGAUGGGUUGGGAGAAACCACUAAUGGAGGCACAUGUAAGGCCGUUUGCUUGGGAGGUGACCACAUACUUAACAUCGGAUUUGGAAUGGGCCUCGUGGAUAUAGCCAUUCAACAAUACAAUCCAGCUACUUACAAAAUCAUUGAGGCGCAUCCAGAGGUUUAACUUAUGCUUCAUAUUUGUUGCGUUGAGAAAGAUAAUGUAAAGAUAAUAUUUGCCCUGUCCCCAAUGGCAAGAUGAUCUUUCUCAGGUUGAAACUUAUGAUGGUAUUUUCUUUGGCAGUUAUGGAGAGCAUUAUGAGGAUCUGAGAGAGUUCCACCGAUGCCUUCCUGUGUUUUUGAAGCUUGGAGGAAUAUAAUCUUUCUUUAAUGCACUUUGCGGAGGUAAUGCAUUUUGCCAUGUUGUUUACUGUAAUUUAGUUUCUCUAGAACUCAAGAAUUUAGGCUACAACACACAUUUGAUUUCUUUGCCUGCUAAGGAUUGUUUGGGUGAAGAAGUUUGGGAAGGUCUGAGACAAAAGUAUUGGCAGCUUGAUACACAUUACUUCCCUGUUUGUCAGUCUGUACAAGAUUCUGAAUGAUUUUCUGACUAUGCCACCACUUUUCUCCUCUUUUAGAUACUUAUAAGGAUAUUGAAAUAUAUUUUUGUUGAUUCAGUAUUUAUGAAACUUUUGUUAUCCAUCAUCAUAUGAAUUUGGUUUGUUGGGUUGCUUAAAGAGCUUGUUGGAUUGUUUGGUGCAUUGGAUGUUGGCUCUAUUUAACAUUGUUUUUUGAGCUAUUUUUGAGACAAAUAUCAACUUAAAUUUGUUUGUUAGAGUAUAUUAAAAAUUAUUUUUAUAUUAAAUUUGACAUGUUUUAGUCA
rnacentral:misc_RNA from 1 species